UGGUGGGUAGUUUGACUGGGGCGGUCUCCUCCUAAAGAGUAACGGAGGAGCACGAAGGUUGGCUAAUCCUGGUCGGACAUCAGGAGGUUAGUGCAAUGGCAUAAGCCAGCUUGACUGCGAGCGUGACGGCGCGAGCAGGUGCGAAAGCAGGUCAUAGUGAUCCGGUGGUUCUGAAUGGAAGGGCCAUCGCUCAACGGAUAAAAGGUACUCCGGGGAUAACAGGCUGAUACCGCCCAAGAGUUCAUAUCGACGGCGGUGUUUGGCACCUCGAUGUCGGCUCAUCACAUCCUGGGGCUGAAGUAGGUCCCAAGGGUAUGGCUGUUCGCCAUUUAAAGUGGUACGCGAGCUGGGUUUAGAACGUCGUGAGACAGUUCGGUCCCUAUCUGCCGUGGGCGCUGGAGAACUGAGGGGGGCUGCUCCUAGUACGAGAGGACCGGAGUGGACGCAUCACUGGUGUUCGGGUUGUCAUGCCAAUGGCACUGCCCGGUAGCUAAAUGCGGAAGAGAUAAGUGCUGAAAGCAUCUAAGCACGAAACUUGCCCCGAGAUGAGUUCUCCCUGAGACUUUAGGUCUCCUGAAGGAACGUUGAAGACGACGACGUUGAUAGG
rnacentral:rRNA from 1 species